AGAGUUUGAUCAUGGCUCAGGACGAACGCUGGCGGCGUGCCUAAUACAUGCAAGUCGAACGAACCAUAACUUGAACUUGUUCUGGUUAAGGUUAGUGGCGCACGGGUGAGUAACACGUGGGGAACCUGCCCUUUAUGGGGGAUAACAGUCGGAAACGACUGCUAAUACCGCAUAGACAACUUAACCGCCUGGUUAAGUUGGGAAAGGUGCUACGACAUCAUUAAAGGAUGGCCCCGCGGUGCAUUAGCUAGUUGGUAAGGUAACGGCUUACCAAGGCGAUGAUGCAUAGCCGACCUGAGAGGGUGAUCGGCCACACUGGGACUGAGACACGGCCCAAACUCCUACGGGAGGCAGCAGUAGGGAAUCUUCCGCAAUGGACGCAAGUCUGACGGAGCAACGCCGCGUGUGUGAAGAAGGUUUUCGGAUCGUAAAGCACUGUUGUUAGAGAAGAACGGCUACUAGAGGAAAUGUUAGUAGAUUGACGGUAUCUAACCAGGAAGCCACGGCUAACUACGUG
rnacentral:rRNA from 1 species